rnacentral:rRNA from 1 species
UUUGAUCCUGGCUCAGGAUGAACGCUGGCGGCGUGCUUAACACAUGCAAGUCGAACGAUGAUGCCAGCUUGCUGGUGGAUUAGUGGCGAACGGGUGAGUAACACGUGAGUAACCUGCCCUUAACUCUGGGAUAAGCCUGGGAAACUGGGUCUAAUACCGGAUAUGACUCCUCAUCGCAUGGUGGGGGGUGGAAAGCUUUUUGUGGUUUUGGAUGGACUCGCGGCCUAUCAGCUUGUUGGUGAGGUAAUGGCUCACCAAGGCGACGACGGGUAGCCGGCCUGAGAGGGUGACCGGCCACACUGGGACUGAGACACGGCCCAGACUCCUACGGGAGGCAGCAGUGGGGAAUAUUGCACAAUGGGCGCAAGCCUGAUGCAGCGACGCCGCGUGAGGGAUGACGGCCUUCGGGUUGUAAACCUCUUUCAGUAGGGAAGAAGCGAAAGUGACGGUACCUGCAGAAGAAGCGCCGGCUAACUACGUGCCAGCAGCCGCGGUAAUACGUAGGGCGCAAGCGUUAUCCGGAAUUAUUGGGCGUAAAGAGCUCGUAGGCGGUUUGUCGCGUCUGCCGUGAAAGUCCGGGGCUCAACUCCGGAUCUGCGGUGGGUACGGGCAGACUAGAGUGAUGUAGGGGAGACUGGAAUUCCUGGUGUAGCGGUGAAAUGCGCAGAUAUCAGGAGGAACACCGAUGGCGAAGGCAGGUCUCUG